GUGCUCGCUUUGACAGCACAUAUACUGAAAUUGGAAGGAUACAGAAGAUUAGCAUGGCCCUGCACAAAGAUGACACGCAAAUUCGUGAAGCAUUCCAGAGGAGA